UACGUAGGGACCAAGCGUUGUUCGGAUUUACUGGGCGUAAAGGGCGCGUAGGCGGCUUGACAAGUCACUUGUGAAAUCUCCGGGCUUAACUCGGAACGGCCAAGUGAAACUGUCAUGCUAGAGUGCAGAAGGGGCAAUCGGAAUUCCUGGUGUAACGGUGAAAUGUGUUGAUAUCAGGAGGAACACCCAUGGCGAAGGCAGCAAACUGGGCAUUAUCUGACGCUGAGGCGCGAAAGCGUGG
rnacentral:rRNA from 1 species